UACGUAGGUGGCAAGCGUUAUCCGGAUUUAUUGGGUGUAAAGGGCGUGUAGGCGGGAGCGCAAGUCAGAUGUGAAAACUCAGGGCUCAACCCUGAGCCUGCAUUUGAAACUGUGUUUCUUGAGUGCUGGAGAGGCAAUCGGAAUUCCGUGUGUAGCGGUGAAAUGCGUAGAUAUACGGAAGAACACCAGUGGCGAAGGCGGCUCUCUGGUCUGCAACUGACGCUGAGGCUCGAAAGCAUGGGUAGCGAACAGG
rnacentral:rRNA from 1 species